rnacentral:lncRNA from 1 species
UGCCUCAAACACAAACACAUGACAAAUAUAGUUCUGCGUGAAGACUUUAGCCCCAUGGGGAAAGCUGAGACUCAGGAGCCUGAUGGCAUAAACAAGGCAAAAGGCUUGGUAGCAAAUCAGAAGACUUGUUUUUGGAAGCUGAAAACUUACUUCAGCAACAACAGUCCUCCAUGGCUCCCUAUUUGUGCUCUUGCUGGCCAGGCCUGGGAAGCCCUCUUGGGGCCUCUGGGGCUUGUAACCAGCCCUGCUUAGGAACUUACUGUGUUUCUGUUUGAUUGAGCCUGGGCAUGAGAUAAAACACAAGGUCAUCUGCAAUGGCACUGGUGCUGUGGCUGUAUCAGCAUGGCUCUGGAUGUCCCUUCGGGGCAGGCAACUGUUCAGGGAGGACUUUCAAGCAAGCUCUGGAACUUGAAGUCUCAAGAGAUGACAAAUAGUCAAUUCUCAAAAAAUGAAGAAAAGAAAAACUUGUUUCUUCAUGUUUGCUAACCCUAUCUAGAUCUAUGGUUUUGGCCAAUAAAUUCACUGUGUUCAAAUCCUCA